rnacentral:misc_RNA from 1 species
ACACACACACACACACAUAUAGAGUUUUGCCACAUGUUUAUCGAAUUUUAAUAAAAAAUUUGAUGUGCUUUUCAACAAUGUGCAUGUUGAUUAUUUUUUCCUUUUGCAUAAUUGUGUAAUAUUUUUCAUUAACUUUGUGUUUGGAUGAAAAAUUUAAAUGUGAGAUUUGAAUGUGAUAAAAUUAUAAAUUUUCUUUAAUUGAUUAAAGUCAUGGAUUUAUA